AACAAGCUAUGUCCAAUAAGGGCGUUUGGAUUCACGAAUCUCUAAUUAAUCCAAUAUAACUCAAGUACGGUAGUGUUUGAGUUUAUUCUGAAGUAUGAUUGCUUUUUUGUUAUUUAUUUUGAUAUAACUCGUAUAAUUUAAAAGUUAAAUUCAAUCACUUUUUCUAUUUGUUUUGGUGUAACCUGUUAUUGAUAAAAUUAGUUUUUUGAGGUUUAUUAUUUGUUUUGACGUAAGUAAGUGGAUUCCGGUACCUCUAAAAUAUGGUAAUAACUUUUUUCUAUAAAAUCCAUCCUAUUGAAAAUAUGGUAAUAACUUAUCUCUAUAAAAUCCAUCCUAUUAAAUCAUUAAAUCCCUCAUUAUUGUUUAAAAGUAAUUUUAACCCAUUGUGAAAAGAAGUAACUCUAAUCCAUUAAUUCUAGGCUUAAUUGCAUACAGGUCCCCACAAACAUAGUGAAUUGCAGAUAUAUCCCUACAAAAGUCUUAAUAUAUUCAGAUAUGUCCCUGCCAUUAGGAUCCGUUAAAGAAAUUUAGUUAACCACAGUUAAAAUACUUAACUAUGAUUAAUUAAUAAAGUAAAUUAACAAUUUUACGUUUCUUCUUCUUCUUCCUUUUUCUCUUCAUCUUCUUUUUCUUCCUCUUCCUCUUCCUCUUCUUCUUCUUCUAUUUUUUUCGUAUCCUCAUUUUUCUCCUUUUUCCUUUUUCUUCUCUUUCUUCAAAUCGGCCGCACCUUCGCCCUGCGCCUCGUCGCUGCGGGCCUCAGCCUCAUCCUGGUUGCCCGCAACUCCGACAAGCUUCGUGCCGCCGCCGCCACCGCCUGCUCCAGCAGC
rnacentral:lncRNA from 1 species